UAAUCUUUAUUCAUUUGAAGGAAUAUUGUUUUUUUGUUAGAAUGAAAUAAAGAGUUCAGCUUUGUUACUUUACUUGGUUCCAUGAAAGAGCCCCAAUUUGCUAUAGUUUGUGUAGAAUGAGUGAUAUGAAGUUAAAUACAGUAGUUUCAAAGGUUUAAUACGAGAGAAAAUGGUGUGAAAAUUGGAAGAAGAAAGGGGGGUAAAAUGUAAAGACAAGAAACAUAGCGCGGGGUUUGGUUUUUCAAAGAACGAUAGAAGUGAACGACAACAAAAGACCUCGGAUACGCAAACCAGCCCCACCACAUUACACACUCUCUCUCUCUCUUUCUGUAUUUGUACGUUGGGUUUCGUGCGAUCUAUAAGAAGAGAUUUGUUUGUCCACUCAACUCUUUUCAUCCUCUGUCUCUCUGCAGUUCUGCUACUACCCACAACCUCACUUUACUCUCUCUCUCUUUAUAAUUAAACUAAACCCCAUUUGUUUCUUUCUCUCUCCCUCCCUCUUCUCAUUUCGUCUUUUCAUUUUUAGGGUUUAUUAAGAUGUGCCUGUGCUCUGCAACUGCUGCUGCUCCCCCUCACGGCCCUACUGGCCAUGGUUUUUCCCAGAAAGGUUUGGAGACAAUAGUGAUGCAGCUGAUGCUUGCUGCUGUAAGGAGUAUGCUCUGUUCCAACAUUAAGUGUUAAAGAUCUAUCACUUUUAGGUAGUGUUGGAAUUUAUGGAUUAAUAUACUUCAGGUUUGGGAUAGGGAAUGAAGCCAUCGGUCCGUGUAGUAUAGGGUAAAUGUAUUAUAUUGACAUUUACUGUAAAUUACUGAUCUAUUUUUAAGUUAGAUAAUAGAAACAGUGCUGCAGCUUCAAUUUGUUC